CUUGCACCCUAUAAGAGGUAAUGCCUGCCCAGUGACCAUGUGUUCAACGGCCGCGGUAUUCUGACCGCGCGAAGGUAGCGUAAUCACUUGUCUUCUAAAUAAAGACUAGUAUGAACGGCCACACGAAGACUUAACUGUCUCCCCUGUCCAAUCAGUGAAACUGAUCUCCUUGUGCAGAAGCGAGGAUAAACCCAUAAGACGAGAAGACCCUAUGGAGCUUUAAACUUAAUAUUAACUACUUCUAUAAUCCCCUCUAAGGAAUUAACAAAUAACCCUUUUCAACUUAAUAUUAGUUUUAGGUUGGGGCGACCAUGGAGAAAAAAAUAUCCUCCCUGAUGACUUUUAAACCAAGAGCUACAGCUCUAAGUAUUAAGAUACUUAACUUCCAUUGACCCAUUUUAUGAUCAACGAAC
rnacentral:rRNA from 1 species